rnacentral:rRNA from 1 species
AACGAACGCUGGCGGCAUGCCUAACACAUGCAAGUCGAACGAGACCUUCGGGUCUAGUGGCGCACGGGUGCGUAACGCGUGGGAAUCUGCCCUCUGGUACGGAAUAACUCAGGGAAACUUGAGCUAAUACCGUAUAAUGACUUCGGUCCAAAGAUUUAUCGCCUGAGGAUGAGCCCGCGUAGGAUUAGCUUGUUGGUGAGGUAAAAGCUCACCAAGGCGACGAUCCUUAGCUGGUCUGAGAGGAUGAUCAGCCACACUGGGACUGAGACACGGCCCAGACUCCUACGGGAGGCAGCAGUGGGGAAUAUUGGACAAUGGGCGAAAGCCUGAUCCAGCGAUGCCGCGUGAGUGAUGAAGGCCUUAGGGUUGUAAAGCUCUUUUACCCGGGAUGAUAAUGACAGUACCGGGAGAAUAAGCCCCGGCUAACUCCGUGCCAGCCGCCGCCGUAAGAC